GCCCUUUUGUUUAUUGAUGUGUUGCUGCUCAUAAAAUAUAUUAUGCUGAGCUCGGGUUACAAACAAAGUCUGUCAUUACUCUGAUGUAUAACCUAUACCUAGUAAAAUAAUAUCUGUCCUAAUUUAUUAUAUGAACUAAAACUUAAUCUAGUUUGUAGUUACAUAUCAUUUUGAUAAUAAUCAAACCAUUGCAUAAGCCAGAU
rnacentral:lncRNA from 1 species